CGUACCUUUUGUAUAAUGGGUCAGCGACUUAUAUUCUGUAGCAAGGUUAACCGAAUAGGGGAGCCGAAGGGAAACCGAGUCUUAACCGGGCGUUAAGUUGCAGGGUAUAGACCCGAAACCCGGUGAUCUAGCCAUGGGCAGGUUGAAGGUUGGGUAACACUAACUGGAGGACCGAACCGACUAAUGUUGAAAAAUUAGCGGAUGACUUGUGGCUGGGGGUGAAAGGCCAAUCAAACCGGGAGAUAGCUGGUUCUCCCCGAAAGCUAUUUAGGUAGCGCCUCGUGAAUUCAUCUCCGGGGGUAGAGCACUGUUUCGGCAAGGGGGUCAUCCCGACUUACCAACCCGAUGCAAACUGCGAAUACCGGAGAAUGUUAUCACGGGAGACACACGGCGGGUGCUAACGUCCGUCGUGAAGAGGGAAACAACCCAGACCGCCAGCUAAGGUCCCAAAGUCAUGGUUAAGUGGGAAACGAUGUGGGAAGGCCCAGACAGCCAGGAUGUUGGCUUAGAAGCAGCCAUCAUUUAAAGAAAGCGUAAUAGCUCACUGGUCGAGUCGGCCUGCGCG
rnacentral:rRNA from 1 species